ACCUCAUCGGAGAGGAGUCAAACUCCUCUCCUCCAGCUCUAUUUAAGGGAGAGACCCUUCUCCCUUCUCCCUAUCAAAGAAUCCUGGAGCGAAACAGCGAAGAUCGUCAGAAAUUGGUCGCGAAAACCGUCACCGUGCCCGCCGCAAUUCCUCACCGGAGAGGUCGUCGGAGCUCGAGGUAAGCAUGUGGUUCUCUUCGUCUCUUCUCUCCUUUCCUUCCCGUACCGGUAUGCAUGCUCACUG
rnacentral:lncRNA from 1 species